rnacentral:rRNA from 1 species
AUGCAAGUCGAGCGGAAACGAGUUAUCUGAACCUUCGGGGGACGAUAACGGCGUCGAGCGGCGGACGGGUGAGUAAUGCCUAGGAAAUUGCCCUGAUGUGGGGGAUAACCAUUGGAAACGAUGGCUAAUACCGCAUAAUGCCUACGGGCCAAAGAGGGGGACCUUCGGGCCUCUCGCGUCAGGAUAUGCCUAGGUGGGAUUAGCUAGUUGGUGAGGUAAUGGCUCACCAAGGCGACGAUCCCUAGCUGGUCUGAGAGGAUGAUCAGCCACACUGGAACUGAGACACGGUCCAGACUCCUACGGGAGGCAGCAGUGGGGAAUAUUGCACAAUGGGCGCAAGCCUGAUGCAGCCAUGCCGCGUGUGUGAAGAAGGCCUUCGGGUUGUAAAGCACUUUCAGUCGUGAGGAAGGUGGUGUAGUUAAUAGCUGCAUUAUUUGACGUUAGCGACAGAAGAAGCACCGGCUAACUCCGUGCCAGCAGCCGCGGUAAUACGGAGGGUGCGAGCGUUAAUCGGAAUUACUGGGCGUAAAGCGCAUGCAGGUGGUUUGUUAAGUCAGAUGUGAAAGCCCGGGGCUCAACCUCGGAAUAGCAUUUGAAACUGGCAGACUAGAGUACUGUAGAGGGGGGUAGAAUUUCAGGUGUAGCGGUGAAAUGCGUAGAGAUCUGAAGGAAUACCGGUGGCGAAGGCGGCCCCCUGGACAGAUACUGACACUCAGAUGCGAAAGCGUGGGGAGCAAACAGGAUUAGAUACCCUGGUAGUCCACGCCGUAAACGAUGUCUACUUGGAGGUUGUGGCCUUGAGCCGUGGCUUUCGGAGCUAACGCGUUAAGUAGACCGCCUGGGGAGUACGGUCGCAAGAUUAAAACUCAAAUGAAUUGACGGGGGCCCGCACAAGCGGUGGAGCAUGUGGUUUAAUUCGAUGCAACGCGAAGAACCUUACCUACUCUUGACAUCCAGAGAACUUUCCAGAGAUGGAUUGGUGCCUUCGGGAACUCUGAGACAGGUGCUGCAUGGCUGUCGUCAGCUCGUGUUGUGAAAUGUUGGGUUAAGUCCCGCAACGAGCGCAACCCUUAUCCUUGUUUGCCAGCGAGUAAUGUCGGGAACUCCAGGGAGACUGCCGGUGAUAAACCGGAGGAAGGUGGGGACGACGUCAAGUCAUCAUGGCCCUUACGAGUAGGGCUACACACGUGCUACAAUGGCGCAUACAGAGGGCAGCAAGCUAGCGAUAGUGAGCGAAUCCCAAAAAGUGCGUCGUAGUCCGGAUUGGAGUCUGCAACUCGACUCCAUGAAGUCGGAAUCGCUAGUAAUCGUGGAUCAGAAUGCCACGGUGAAUACGUUCCCGGGCCUUGUACACACCGCCCGUCACACCAUGGGAGUGGGCUGCAAAAGAAGUAGGUAGUUU